GACGAACGCUGGCGGCGUGCCUAAUACAUGCAAGUAGAACGCUGAAGAGAGGAGCUUGCUCUUCUUGGAUGAGUUGCGAACGGGUGAGUAACGCGUAGGUAACCUGCCUUGUAGCGGGGGAUAACUAUUGGAAACGAUAGCUAAUACCGCAUAACAAUGGAUGACACAUGUCAUUUAUUUGAAAGGGGCAAUUGCUCCACUACAAGAUGGACCUGCGUUGUAUUAGCUAGUAGGUGAGGUAAUGGCUCACCUAGGCGACGAUACAUAGCCGACCUGAGAGGGUGAUCGGCCACACUGGGACUGAGACACGGCCCAGACUCCUACGGGAGGCAGCAGUAGGGAAUCUUCGGCAAUGGGGGCAACCCUGACCGAGCAACGCCGCGUGAGUGAAGAAGGUUUUCGGAUCGUAAAGCUCUGUUGUAAGUCAAGAACGGGUGUGAGAGUGGAAAGUUCACACUGUGACGGUAGCUUACCAGAAGGGGACGGCUAACUACGUGCCAGCAGCCGCGGUAAUACGUAGGUCCCGAGCGUUGUCCGGAUUUAUUGGGCGUAAAGCGAGCGCAGGCGGUUUGAUAAGUCUGAAGUUAAAGGCUGUGGCUCAACCAUAGUUCGCUUUGGAAACUGUCAAACUUGAGUGCAGAAGGGGAGAGUGGAAUUCCAUGUGUAGCGGUGAAAUGCGUAGAUAUAUGGAGGAACACCGGUGGCGAAAGCGGCUCUCUGGUCUGUAACUGACGCUGAGGCUCGAAAGCGUGGGGAGCGAACAGGAUUAGAUACCCUGGUAGUCCACGCCGUAAACGAUGAGUGCUAGGUGUUGGAUCCUUUCCGGGAUUCAGUGCCGCAGCUAACGCAUUAAGCACUCCGCCUGGGGAGUACGACCGCAAGGUUGAAACUCAAAAGGAAUUGACGGGGGCCCGCACAAGCGGUGGAGCAUGUGGUUUAAUUCGAAGCAACGCGAAGAACCUUACCAGGUCUUGACAUCCCGAUGCUAUUUCUAGAGAUAGAAAGUUACUUCGGUACAUCGGUGACAGGUGGUGCAUGGUUGUCGUCAGCUCGUGUCGUGAGAUGUUGGGUUAAGUCCCGCAACGAGCGCAACCCCUAUUGUUAGUUGCCAUCAUUCAGUUGGGCACUCUAGCGAGACUGCCGGUAAUAAACCGGAGGAAGGUGGGGAUGACGUCAAAUCAUCAUGCCCCUUAUGACCUGGGCUACACACGUGCUACAAUGGUUGGUACAACGAGUUGCGAGUCGGUGACGGCGAGCUAAUCUCUUAAAGCCAAUCUCAGUUCGGAUUGUAGGCUGCAACUCGCCUACAUGAAGUCGGAAUCGCUAGUAAUCGCGGAUCAGCACGCCGCGGUGAAUACGUUCCCGGGCC
rnacentral:rRNA from 1 species